CAGCCUUCCUUGCACCUUUUUCUCCGCUGCCCUGAACCCGAAAGGCUGUGGAUCUUGAGAAUAAGGAGCACAACCAAGGAGGGGUUCGGGAGGAGCCUGCACCCCUAAGGACCUCUAGAGGCUGCGAUCCGCCCUACCAGCGCCGGACUACCAACCGCCCGCCUUCCUUUAUGUGGGGGCGAAUCAAGCUUUUCUCUUAUUUUAGCCACUGUUUACGUUUCUUGCUGCUAUCCACAGCCGAAUCUAAUCCUAAGUAAUUAUAAAGCUACGGGAGGAGCUGAGGCUGGGCAAGGAAGUGGGUCCCAGUUUGUGGUAAAACCGCAAAGCCUGAGAGAUGUACUGGGAGCCAAAGGCUGAUGACCAGAAUUGUGGGGACAUCUGCCAGCUUCCUGAGGAGGCCCCAGAGCACCUGGAGACAACUCCCACCCAUCCAAAGCUCCAAGAGGGGCCCAUGGAACCCAGAAAAGGGGCCUGAAGGCCGGGCUCAGGGUGCGGAGGGGGCUGUACCAUCUCUCUUCUUCCCUGUCCACUCGGGCACCCAGACCAAAGCCAGCUGACCUGGGGGCAGAAGAAUUUGCCAUUAAUCGAUUUUGGAGUUUUCAUUUCUAGCCAGGAUUGGUCAUUCUGAUUACUGAUCUGAGACCAAAUUAGCCACUUAACGUGACCACAAGCCCAUAAGGAGUCCAGAGUGAGCCACGGAGGCAUGGGGCCAGCUGGAGUCCUCAUCCACAGGCAGAGGCAUUCCACCUUCAUUCAUUCAUCCGUCCGACAAGUGUGUACUGAGCCUCUACCUUGU